CUCGUAGGCGGCUUGUCGCGUCUGCUGUGAAAACCCGGAGCUCAACUCCGGGCCUGCAGUGGGUACGGGCAGGCUAGAGUGCGGUAGGGGAGAUUGGAAUUCCUGGUGUAGCGGUGGAAUGCGCAGAUAUCAGGAGGAACACCGAUGGCGAAGGCAGAUCUCUGGGCCGCUACUGACGUUGAGGAGCGAAAGCAUGGGGAGCGAACA
rnacentral:rRNA from 1 species